CGUUGAGGCAAAUUCAAGCCAUGCGCGAACCUAGCCGAAACUCUCAUGCAUGCCACUGUAAUUAAAAUUUCAACCAUUUACAACUGAAACAUGCAGCGCGCGCGGCCAACCCUCUCACCAAUCUGAUCCUUUGUCGAACUAAUUCAACAAGACGUUGAGGCGAGAUUUGCAGAGAUUUUAUGUACUAUUUAGAACAUGAGCAGCAAGUGUUUUAUCAGAUAUAAAGAUGGUCUGAUAAAACACGCACUGCGAAUGUUUUAAAUUGCUUAAAAAACGAUCGAUCUAUAGUAUAAGGUCACUAUCCGACCAGAUUAUCUGCCCGGAUACUAUAUCCGGUGCAACCCUAAUAACAAAAAAUGUAAACAAUACUUAAGGUGGCUUUUUGACUACAAAAUGUAGCGCCCCUUUAAUGUUCGUUUAGCAACUCAAACACUAUAUUUUCCUUCCCUAUCCCCUUUGAGUAUGAACGUUGCCCCUAACACCAGAUGAUUUUACUUACAGUUUUCAAUAAUGGGUUCAACAUGCUGCAACUCGAAACACAAUCUAACCAUUGAUACAACAUAGAACUUCUGUCGGCAGCACACAAAACGUGGUCGCGGGCACGCAAAGCAUGUUGGUAAUAUUUUGUUACCGAACUCGAAGCGAGCUGUUCCGAUUAUGCCCUUUCUUGGACAUCAUCGUGUUUAGUAUGAUAAAAACCGUUGGUCAUUGUCGUUAUUUGGCGCCCAUUUCGAUAAAUU